UAUUAAGUUUACAAUGUAUUAUAAGACAUUAGAAGUUUUAAAAACUACACUACUUUUCUCAAAUACAGUAAGUCAUAAGUUUCUUACAUAGAGCCAACAGGUAGCUACCUAGAUGAGAGAUUGUUCUAGGUAAUUUUUACCUCUGAAAUCUAGCACAGAACACAUUGCUUUCAUUUAGGAGAUUCAUGAGGUAAAGAGUGGGCAUGAACAUGGCUUGUGUUUUAAAAUAAAGCCUGUGGGACCGGGCCCAAAAUAGAGCAAUGGAGCUGGCUUGGCUUCUGAGUACUUUAGACUGGGGUGGUUAAGAGUUCUUGUCUUUGAGGUCAUCUUCUAUGAAAAACAGCGUAGCCAUGAACAGCCAGAAAACCUUGUAGGUAAAUGUCUAUCAAUUCAAUUUUUGUAUAUCUAGGGAUGACUUUUUAAUAUGAAGCAAGUGUUAUUCCUAAGAAUGCUAAUGUGUAAUCCAGAUUCUGCUAAAGAAAUUAAAAAAAAAAUCAAAACAACUGUUAGUCUGUACUUUAUUAGUCAGGAACACAAUGUCUACAUUUGUACUCACAUAAUAUUAUUCAGUCAUUCCCAAGGGGCUGAGCCUUAACAUUGCUUUCACAGAAGAUUUUGACAGUUGCUAAACACCGAUUCUGUGGCUAAGAAAUUAGCCUCCUUGCCCAGUUUUCUAGAGUUAUAAGAUUGGCUUAUUCUUCAUUUAUGUUUUUCCAUUUGCUAUUUCCCCCAUUUUAAUUUCAGAAAAUCCUAUAAAAAUUUUCCUUAGUUUGGAACAGGUUGUCACUUUUUUCUCUAGAAAAACAGAGAAGUCUGUCAAUGUUUCCUCUUCCAUCAAUGAAUAACUGCUGUUGUUCUACGGAAUUCUAUUUCUUUUCUUUGAUUAAGGUGAUCUAUUCGUGCAGUUUCAUUUACUGUUUAUAUAUCAGAGGUUUACAAAUUUAUAUUUCUACCUUACAUUUAUGUCUUUCCCAAAAGACAUGAGAUUUUUUCUACUCUUUACAUAAAACUGAGUUUAUCACCUUUAACUCCAAACUUUGGUCUUCCUUUUUAAAUAAAUGACACCAGUUUUCCCCACUAUUCAAAAGUAGAGGUUCCUAUGAAACCUUUUAUAAGCCAAAAUGACUUAAAGCAAAGAAGCAAUUACCAUUUCACAAAAGUGAAAAUCCUCUUUGAAUGUCUUUUGUUAGCUAAAACAGGUACUAAGUCUUUUGUAAGAGCAGAGGAGCAUAAAGCAAACUUUUGAAUAAUGUGGGGAACCUUUGCCAUCAAAUACUUAGCUGCUCAAACCAUAAAUGUAGGGGUUGUCUUCAACCUCUCUACCACUGCCCAACCUCUAUCAUUGUGACAGGAGUUUUGUAUCCUUCCCUGUACAUGUAAAAGUAUAUACUUGAAUUCCAGUAUAAUUCCAGCAUGAAAUAAAGUUCAGUGCAGUGAAGAUACACUUUUUACCCAUGUUAGGUCAACAAGAUGUGCAACUGGGUUUUCAGAGAUAUUGAUAUCCCAUUUUACAGCCAACCAAAUAUUUGCAUUUUCUACUUGCUGAGCCAGGUCUAAAUUGAGAGACCAAAGUCAUAAAAGAGGCACAUAAAAAUGCAUAUCUGGGCUUGAAUAAGAAUAUAUAAUUUCAAAUAAAGCUAUAUCCUUCUCUGUAUAAAGUUUUCCAUGAAAUGAGUCUAGAUAAAUGGAAUACAUUCUGUGGACUGUUAAAUGGUCAAUUAUUCUCUUUCUCCCAAACCCCUAAUGCUGGCUGUGGAGCUGAUUAUCUCAUCAUUUUAUAUAACACUAGCUGUGAAAAUAACUGUAGACUGAAAGCUAUAGAAGAUUAAGGAGCUAUGUAUGAUUGUUUUAUGAGGUAGAAAUUUGAAGUUUAUCUAGCUAUUAACCUGAUGUAAAGUACUGGUAUUUGAAAUAGGCAGAUCAUUAUCUGUUUGUUGUAAAUAUUGUUAUGCAUGUUAUUUAAUGAAUUAUACUAUGCUUUUAAAAGAAAAUCACAAAGCAGAGGUUGUAGAAGUUAGACAAUUUUCAAUUAUGAGUGAAGAACAAAUUGAUACGGAUUUUAUUAUGGUGGUAUUAUCUGUUAUAUAUCUUCCUUUAAGAAAUUAUUUAUACUCUUAUAAUAGGAAUCUAUUUCUUGAUUUAAUUUGUAUAAGAAGUUAUUGUCUUUGACCAUAUAAUAUGCUGUAAAACCUCUCAUUUCCAUCUUGCCAGACUUCAUUUUUAGCUUACAUAAAGAAUGCUAUUUUGGUUUCAAUAUAAUUUCUGUUUCUAGCAACUUACUGCUCACUUCCUAUUUAUUUCUUUCUUACCCAUGAAAAUACAAGUACAUCAUCAUAAUGCCUAACUGGAGGACAUAGUAGCCAAAGGAUUCUCUUUCCUGUCUUCAGAAGUACAGAAAACUAGACAGUCUAGAAUUAGGAUUUUAUUUAACUUUCUCAUGGUAAUAAAGCUAGUGGGUGCCCAAGCCAUCCCUCCCUCACCCUCCACAGGCUGAUUCUCCUGCGCUGCUUCCCAGAGCCUGUGAAAAGGUUUGGAAGAUGCAAGGCAUUGUUGUCAACAAGGGUUAUCGACCACCCAGUACCAUCUUUAUGUUAGCAAGCACACUGGAUAUGCACAGAGCCUCUUCUUUGCUGAGUCAGUUUCUGUGCCAAUGUCACUUCAUCACAGAGGCCUUUUCUGACUACCUUGCGUGAAAUAACCUCUUACCCCCUUAUAUUCCCCUCUUCCCUUACUAUCUCUUUGCUACAGUUGUGUUUACUUGAAAUUAUCUCAUAUGAUGUAUUUUUACUUAUCUGUCUUCCUCAAGUGGAAUGUAAAUUCCGUAAGGGCCAGAAUUACAUUUAACAAUUAGUGGAGCUGUAGUGCCAGUGCCUAGAACAGUGCUCGCCCAUAGCAGGCAUUCAGGAAAUAUUUGAAACAUUGAAUUCAUUGAGUGAUUGCUAGAAACCAGCUACUUGCUGAGUUUUUAUAUGCAUUAUAUCAUUUAACCCUUACAUAUUAUUAUGGAGUAUUAUAAUUACCCCAUACAAGAUUAGUGUUGUUUUUAACCUCAUAUUUGUUAUGAAUGAGGAGCUAAAGCUUAAAAUCAUAAAUAAUUCACGCAAGAUAACACAAUAGGUAAGACGCAGAGCCGAGACGGGAGUCUCUGUUCCUAUCUACUGUUUCUGUGCACUGUAGAGCCUAGACUUCAGAGACUAGAUUAAACAAGGGUCGGUUAAAGGAAAAGGAAAUAUCUUUGAUUCCAUAAAAUAUUAAGUUGAAAAAGACUGUAACAUAUAAAAAAAUGUACCAUAAGUCUUUAUGAAAGAAAAUCAAUAAACAGUAAUAUUAGGUGCCAGAACUAGGAUUUGAGGUAAAAUAUAUAGGGCUUGGUAAAAUUUAGUUAAGAAAGACACCUAGUUCAACUUUAACAUUUAAAUGGUGACUUGAAAGUUUAUUUGCCUUGUUAAGUUUGAUAUUUCUUCAGAUUUAGCUGUUUUUUAAAAAGAAAUUUCUUCCAGAAUGGAAAUUAAAGUUCAUGAAUAAAUUCAGGUGAGUUAGGCAAUGAGCCAUUAAGUUGAACUUCAGACAAAUGAUUUGCCUGCCAGCUUAAAUCGUGUACUUAUGGCUUUUCAUCAGAAUUUGGUGCGGGACAGCAGAACAGUAGAGGCAAAUUUUUGCAGAAAAUAAGUCUUUCUGCAACAGACCGGUCUGAGGCAACUUUCACCAAAUCUCUGUUAUGUCCCGCACCAGAUCUAUAUUAUGUCAGAGUGCAGUAAAUGCUAUGAAAAUGAAGCCUGUCAAAAAGAUGAUGAUCUGAGUGUAUGGAUAAGGUCAAGGGUUAGGUAGUGUGUAUAUGUGCAUAUAUGUGUGUGUAUAUGUGUGUACAUAGGAGUAGCUACUUUUUUAAAACAUGUGAACCAAGUAAGGCUCCUAAUGAAUUUUGAAGAGAAAUGCGAACCAAACCAAGGACUUUCCUGUAUGGUUAUAUGCAGGAGUAAUAGUAAAAACCUUUAACAGCACAGCAUGAUUACUGGCCUAUGGGAACAGAUGUCAACUCUAGACCGCUAGAGCCAUGUUGGCAUUUAUUGACUGAGUAGCUUCCUUGAGUGUCUGGGGAAAGAGUGUUCCUUGGUGUAACUGAGGAGCUGUAGGAGCUAGUGAGGCAGGAACAGCAUGGCUGAAUGGAAGAGUGAUUGGAGGUGAACACAGAUUUAGAUUAAUUUAAUAACAAAUAUGCAUUAUCUUAAAAGGUCAGUUGUUUGUACUUUAAGAAAUUCACUUCAUUCAAGUAGAAGCUCAGUAUAAAAUUUUACAAGUUUUCAUAGUGAAUCUCUUUAAAACAAAAGAUUAAUAUUCAGUAGUGCUAGUCAAUUUAAUUUCCAGGAACAUUUUUGUAGCAAUAUGGCCAUCUGGAUAAAUUAGAAUAAAACCCAUGUUUUGAUUUCUAAGAACUUUUCUCUCCAGCCCAUUGCUGUUUUUUAAAUUUCUGUUUUGCUUGGUUUUGGGUUUUUUUUUUUUCCUCCUGUGCCACCAGGCAGUUCAUUCAGUUCUGACUCUUCCUGGUGAUGACUCAGAUCCCAUAGGUUCAGGGCUCAUUUCUACAAGACUGCCCCCCAAACUGCCCAACUUCACAUGCCAGUCUUAAAUCCAGGUUGUCACUUGUGCUUCUGACCUACUGGUGAUAGAUGUGAAGUCCCAACAACCCCCUCUUUAGGUUCAGUUAAUUUGCUAGAGUCCCUCACAGAACUCAGAAAAACAUUCUCAUAGUAGAUGACCAGAUUAAUAUGAAAGGACAUAACUCAGGAACAGCCAGAUGUUAGAGAUGCAUAAGACAAGGUACGAGGAAAAGGGAAUGGUACUUUCUUGAUUUCUAAGGGUACAACUGAAGAAGUUCAAAAUAUAAGUGAGAUUCAGUGAGGUGGAGUCCAGAGCCAGUGACCAAGAAAGAAUUCUUGAGACGUCUUUGGUGCAAAAUGGUGGUUUAUUAAAGCACCAGAACAGGACCCGUGGGCAGAAAGAGCUACUGCCUAUAAUCCUGAGGAGGGGCUGAUUAUAUACUCAGGAGUUGGGGGAGGUGAGGACAAUGAGGGUGUUCAGAAGGGCUGUCGUAUGUUAAAGACUGUUAAGAUACUGGAGGCCUGGUUAUUGUUGAGCCAAGGCGGUUUUUCCCUCUGAUGAGGCACGAACAUGAAGACAGUUGGGAGUUUCCUGCUG